UAGGGAAUCUUCCGCAAUGGGCGAAAGCCUGACGGAGCAACGCCGCGUGAGUGAUGAAGGUCUUCGGAUCGUAAAACUCUGUUAUUAGGGAAGAACAAAUGUGUAAGUAACUAUGCACGUCUUGACGGUACCUAAUCAGAAAGCCACGGCUAACUACGUGCCAGCAGCCGCGGUAAUACGUAGGUGGCAAGCGUUAUCCGGAAUUAUUGGGCGUAAAGCGCGCGUAGGCGGUUUUUUAAGUCUGAUGUGAAAGCCCACGGCUCAACCGUGGAGGGUCAUUGGAAACUGGAAAACUUGAGUGCAGAAGAGGAAAGUGGAAUUCCAUGUGUAGCGGUGAAAUGCGAAGAGAUAUGGAGGAACACCAGUGGCGAAGGCGACUUUCUGGUCUGUAACUGACGCUGAUGUGCGAAAGCGUGGGAAUCAAACAGG
rnacentral:rRNA from 1 species